UACGAAGGGGGCUAGCGUUGUUCGGAAUUACUGGGCGUAAAGCGCACGUAGGCGGUUAUUUAAGUCAGGGGUGAAAUCCCAGAGCUCAACUCUGGAACUGCCUUUGAUACUGGGUAUCUUGAGUAUGGAAGAGGUAAGUGGAAUUGCGAGUGUAGAGGUGAAAUUCGUAGAUAUUCGCAGGAACACCAGUGGCGAAGGCGGCUUACUGGUCCAUUACUGACGCUGAGGUGCGAAAGCGUGGGGAGCAAACAGG
rnacentral:rRNA from 1 species